CUCAUGGCCCCAAAGUUUGGCAAUUGUUCUCCUAUUUUAUAAAAGAAAGGUUGCUGUUAGGUUGUCGCAAUUUUCCCUCUGGUUACAGGCCGCGAAUGCCGCCAAUCGAUUUGAGUGGCGGCUGUUGCUGCGUGAGUGAGUAGAGUGAAUCCUCUGGCGGCGAGGCAGAAAAUGGAUAAUGUGUUGCUGUUUGCGACCCGUUAAACACCCUCUGCAUUCACGUUCUCCCUUAGAGCCGUUUAACGAUCCAACUAUUAACCGCUCUGACAUUUAUAGCUGUUUUUCGCUGACCGUGCUACCCUCUGUACAGUUUAUCUGCUCCUAGUGACCACAGUUUCUUCGAGAGAGCUGCCGCCAGUUUUGACGUAGGGGAUGUAACUGGUUCUCACCAACGCCACCCGCGAUUCACAGCCGACCACCUAGGGAAGCAGCUGCUACUGAAUCCCCCGAAGUUCCGUGGCGAGAGCAAGGAGACGGGGUGUGUCAGGCUCUUCCUGUGCCCGGCGGCAUCACCGCCGGCGCCCUCUGGUGCCCCGGUUCCUCUGCGGGUCUCAUGCAGUGGGUGGUGAGGGACGAACUGCGUGUACCGCUUUCCCUUUCACUUCUUCUUUACGUUGGGAGCAUUUGAGUUGGUCAUCGGGACAAACAACGCUCUCCUGGAGCAUUGCCGUAAUUUUCUUGGUUUUGUCUAACCCGUAUGCGGCAAAGUUGCCCGGCCCGGUGGCUGCCUAACGAUACUUGUACAUACUGUCCCUCACACGAUGGACACCUCGAGAUAUUCAUCCUUUCGUGAUCUAUUGGCACAUGCCAGCCGGCUUUAGCAUCGCCUCUCCUCUCGUGACCGCAGCGCAUAUGUUACCUGUGAGCAGGAAGCAGGCCUGGCCGUUCUCGUUCCUUGUACCCGUCUCAAGUCCUACCGGAGGCAGCAGGACGUGUACCCUUGGAGAGAGCGUGGUCAUUUGUUUGACGACGAAAGCUCCUGCUUUGACAUGGUUGUCCGGGUUGCCUGCCCAGAACUACCCACUCCGGUUCAGCAGGGUUAAGCCAGUCUUCUCAGUGUUUCAGGCUUUCUUUUGACUUCCCACAGCUGCGGCGUCUACCUUUUUCGGUGUAUCAGUGCAGCCAUCAGUGAAGUUCUGUGUAUUUCCAUCCGGCAACGUCUUUCCCAAUCCUGCGUCUCAUUCGUUGACUUCGCAGCAGAGACGGCAUAAGAACACAGCCAACUCGAUGUUUCCUUCAGUUGACU
rnacentral:lncRNA from 1 species